rnacentral:rRNA from 1 species
UGCAAGUCGGACGGCAGCACGGGGCUUCGGCCUGGUGGCGAGUGGCGAACGGGUGAGUAAUGUAUCGGAACGUGCCCGGUAGCGGGGGAUAACUACGCGAAAGCGUGGCUAAUACCGCAUACGCCCUACGGGGGAAAGCGGGGGACCUUCGGGCCUCGCACUAUUGGAGCGGCCGAUAUCGGAUUAGCUAGUUGGUGGGGUAACGGCCUACCAAGGCGACGAUCCGUAGCUGGUUUGAGAGGACGACCAGUCACACUGGGACUGAGACACGGCCCAGACUCCUACGGGAGGCAGCAGUGGGGAAUUUUGGACAAUGGGGGCAACCCUGAUCCAGCCAUCCCGCGUGUGCGAUGAAGGCCUUCGGGUUGUAAAGCACUUUUGGCAGGAAAGAAACGGCACGGGCUAAUAUCCUGUGCAACUGACGGUACCUGCAGAAUAAGCACCGGCUAACUACGUGCCAGCAGCCGCGGUAAUACGUAGGGUGCAAGCGUUAAUCGGAAUUACUGGGCGUAAAGCGUGCGCAGGCGGUUCGGAAAGAAAGAUGUGAAAUCCCAGGGCUUAACCUUGGAACUGCAUUUUUAACUACCGAGCUAGAGUGUGUCAGAGGGAGGUGGAAUUCCGCGUGUAGCAGUGAAAUGCGUAGAUAUGCGGAGGAACACCGAUGGCGAAGGCAGCCUCCUGGGAUAACACUGACGCUCAUGCACGAAAGUGUGGGGAGCAAACAGGAUUAGAUACCCUGGUAGUCCACGCCCUAAACGAUGUCAACUAGCUGUUGGGGCCUUCGGGCCUUGGUAGCGCAGCUAACGCGUGAAGUUGACCGCCU